rnacentral:rRNA from 1 species
CCUACGGGUGGCAGCAGUGGGGGAUAUUGGACAAUGGGGGAAACCCUGAUCCAGCGAUGCCGCGUGAGGGAAGAAGGUUUUCGGAUUGUAAACCUCUGUGGAGGGGGACGAUAAUGACGGUACCCCUUUAGGAAGCGACGGCUAACUACGUGCCAGCAGCCGCGGGAAUACGUAGGUGGCGAGCGAUGUCCGGAAUUAAUGGGUGUAAAGGGAGAGUAGGCGGGAAAGCUAGUCCGAAGGGAAAACUAUGGGCUUAACCCAUAGCCUGCUUUUGAAACUGUUUUUCUUGAGUGAAAUAGAGGCAAGCGGAAUUCCUAGUGUAGCGGUGAAAUGCGUAGAUAUUAGGAAGAACACCGGUGGCGAAGGCGGCUUGCUGGGCUUUUACUGACGCUGAGGCUCGAAAGCGUGGGGAGCGAACAGGAUUAGAUACCCCUGUAGUC